rnacentral:rRNA from 1 species
GACGAACGCUGGCGGCGUGCUUAACACAUGCAAGUCGAACGGAAAGGCCCUGCUUUUGUGGGGUGCUCGAGUGGCGAACGGGUGAGUAACACGUGAGUAACCUGCCCUUGACUUUGGGAUAACUUCAGGAAACUGGGGCUAAUACCGGAUAGGAGCUCCUGCUGCAUGGUGGGGGUUGGAAAGUUUCGGCGGUUGGGGAUGGACUCGCGGCUUAUCAGCUUGUUGGUGGGGUAGUGGCUUACCAAGGCUUUGACGGGUAGCCGGCCUGAGAGGGUGACCGGCCACAUUGGGACUGAGAUACGGCCCAGACUCCUACGGGAGGCAGCAGUGGGGAAUAUUGCACAAUGGGCGGAAGCCUGAUGCAGCAACGCCGCGUGCGGGAUGACGGCCUUCGGGUUGUAAACCGCUUUCGCCUGUGACGAAGCGUGAGUGACGGUAAUGGGUAAAGAAGCACCGGCUAACUACGUGCCAGCAGCCGCGGUGAUACGUAGGGUGCGAGCGUUGUCCGGAUUUAUUGGGCGUAAAGGGCUCGUAGGUGGUUGAUCGCGUCGGAAGUGUAAUCUUGGGGCUUAACCCUGAGCGUGCUUUCGAUACGGGUUGACUUGAGGAAGGUAGGGGAGAAUGGAAUUCCUAGUGGAGCGGUGGAAUGCGCAGAUAUCAGGAGGAACACCAGUGGCGAAGGCGGUUCUCUGGGCCUUUCCUGACGCUGAGGAGCGAAAGCGUGGGGAGCGAACAGGCUUAGAUACCCUGGUAGUCCACGCUGUAAACGGUGGGUACUAGGUGUGGGGUCCAUUCCACGGGUUCCGUGCCGUAGCUAACGCUUUAAGUACCCCGCCUGGGGAGUACGGCCGCGAGGCUAAAACUCAAAGGAAUUGACGGGGCCCCGCACAAGCGGCGGAGCAUGCGGAUUAAUUCGAUGCAACGCGUAGAACCUUACCUGGGUUUGACAUGGAUCGGGAGUGCUCAGAGAUGGGUGUGCCUCUUUUGGGGUCGGUUCACAGGUGGUGCAUGGCUGUCGUCAGCUCGUGUCGUGAGAUGUUGGGUUAAGUCCCGCAACGAGCGCAACCCUUGUUCACUGUUGCCAGCACGUUAUGGUGGGGACUCAGUGGAGACCGCCGGGGUCAACUCGGAGGAAGGUGGGGAUGACGUCAAGUCAUCAUGCCCCUUAUGUCCAGGGCUUCACGCAUGCUACAAUGGCUGGUACAGAGAGUGGCGAGCCUGUGAGGGUGAGCGAAUCUCGGAAAGCCGGUCUCAGUUCGGAUUGGGGUCUGCAACUCGACCUCAUGAAGUCGGAGUCGCUAGUAAUCGCAGAUCAGCAACGCUGCGGUGAAUACGUUCCCGGGGCU